AUGGCAGGACCUGACAGCCCGGGCAAGACCGUGGUGGAUUCAGGGAAUAGUGGCGGCGGCGGCGCCAUGGUUGUACACCAGCGCGUCGUCCGCGACACCGGCGGGGCCUGGCCCAUGCUGACGCGCACGAACUAUGUGGACUGGGCCCUCCUGAUGCAAGUGAUGCUGGAGGCGCGCCAGCUCUGGGUCGCCAUCAAUGACGGGACGCCGGAGCGAGAAACAGAUCGCACGGCAAUGGAGUGCCUGCUGCGAUCAGUGCCGCCGGAGAUGACGUCCACGCUCGCCGUCAAGCCCACUGUGAAGGACGCCUGGGGCACGAUCAAGACCAUGCGACUGGGCGUGGCACGCGUUCGUGAGGCCAAGGCGACGUCACUGCGCCGGUAG
rnacentral:rRNA from 1 species